rnacentral:rRNA from 1 species
GACGUAGGUGGCGAACGUUAUCCGGAAUUAUUGGGCGUAAAGGGUGCGUAGAUGGCCUGAUAAGUUAGCAGUGGGAAAUCGAGGCUCAACCUCGUGGAAGCUGGUAAUACUGUCAGGCUCGAGUGCAGGAGAGGUUAACGGAACUCCAUGUGGAGCGGUAAAAUGUGUAGAUAUAUGGAAGAACACCAAUAACGGCGAAGGCAGUUAACUAUUCUGUUACUGACACUGAGAGACGAAAGCUAGGGGAGCGAAUGGG